GCCUGGAUAGCUCAGCUGGGAGAGCAUCAGACUUUUAAUCUGAGGGUCCAGGGUUCAAGCCCCUGUUCAGGCG
rfam:Eurypyga helias contig66972, whole genome shotgun sequence.